UACAGAGGUCUCAAGCGUUGUUCGGAUUCAUUGGGCGUAAAGGGUGCGUAGGCGGCGCGGUAACUCGGGUGUGAAAUCUCGGGGCUUAACUCCGAAACUGCAUUCGAUACUGCCGUGCUUGAGGACUGGAGAGGAGACUGGAAUUUACGGUGUAGCGGUGAAAUGCGUAGAUAUCGUAAGGAAGACCAGUGGCGAAGGCGGGUCUCUGGACAGUUCCUGACGCUGAGGCACGAAGGUCAGGGGAGCAAACGGG
rnacentral:rRNA from 1 species